rnacentral:lncRNA from 1 species
CUUUGGGCAGCUCUGUGGGACUCCAGGGAUCUAUUACAACUGAUUCACCAGAAGCAGGCUCAAGAUACUCAUA